AAUAUACUACCUCCGUUCUAAAAUUCUUGUCCUAGAUUUGUUUAGAUGUGAAUGUAUCUAGUCAAGUUUUAGUAUUUAGAUACAUUCAUUUCUAGACAAAGCUAAGACAAGACUUUUGGGACGGAGAGAGUAUCAA
rfam:Hordeum vulgare subsp. vulgare, WGS project CAJW01000000 data, contig: morex_contig_171287